rnacentral:rRNA from 1 species
UGUGCUUGCACAGAUGACGACCGGCGCACGGGUGCGUAACGCGUAUAGAACCUACCUUUUACAGAGGAAUAGCCUUUAGAAAUGAAGAUUAAUGCCUCAUAGUAUUGUAGACUGGCAUCAGUUUAUAAUUAAAGAUUUAUCGGUAAAAGAUGGCUAUGCGUCCUAUUAGUUAGUUGGUAAGGUAACGGCUUACCAAGACAGCGAUAGGUAGGGGUCCUGAGAGGGAGAUCCCCCACACUGGUACUGAGACACGGACCAGACUCCUACGGGAGGCAGCAGUGAGGAAUAUUGGACAAUGGAGGAGACUCUGAUCCAGCCAUGCCGCGUGUAGGAAGAAUGCCCUAUGGGUUGUAAACUACUUUUAUACAGGAAGAAACACUGGUAUGUAUACCAGCUUGACGGUA